rnacentral:rRNA from 1 species
GGUUUGAUCUUGGCUCAGAUUGAACGCUGGCGGCAGGCCUAACACAUGCAAGUCGGGCGGUAGAGAGAAGCUUGCUUCUCUUGAGAGCGGCGGACGGGUGAGUAAUGCCUAGGAAUCUGCCUGGUAGUGGGGGAUAACGCUCGGAAACGGACGCUAAUACCGCAUACGUCCUACGGGAGAAAGCAGGGGACCUUCGGGCCUUGCGCUAUCAGAUGAGCCUAGGUCGGAUUAGCUAGUUGGCGAGGUAAUGGCUCACCAAGGCGACGAUCCGUAACUGGUCUGAGAGGAUGGAUCAGUCACACUGGAACUGAGACACGGUCCAGACUCCGUACGGGAGGCAGCAGGUGGGAAUAUUGGACAAUGGGCGAAGGCCUGAUCCAGCCAUGCCGCGUGUGUGAAGAAGGUCUUCGGA